rnacentral:rRNA from 1 species
UACGUAGGGUGCGAGCGUUGUCCGGAAUUAUUGGGCGUAAAGGGCUCGUAGGCGGUUUGUCGCGUCGGGAGUGAAAACCUCGGGCUUAACUCGGGGCUUGCUUUCGAUACGGGCAGACUGGAGGUAUGCAGGGGAGAACGGAAUUCCUGGUGUAGCGGUGAAAUGCGCAGAUAUCAGGAGGAACACCGGUGGCGAAGGCGGUUCUCUGGGCACGACCUGACGCUGAGGAGCGAAAGUGUGGGGAGCGAACAGG